AUGAUGAUUCAGUUGGGCUUUUAUGUUCAGUUUGUGGAGCUUUUGAUGGCCUGUAUCCAAUCUAUUAAAUAUAAGGUCAAAUUCAAUAAUCAAGAAGCAAAUUAUUUUAUUCCUGGAAGAGAUCUUCGGCACGGAGAUCCCCCUUUCCCUUAUUUGUUCUUUAGAUUUGUUCAGAAGGUCUAUCUAGUUUUUUGGCUGAUAAAGAGUAGGUUCGUGGUAUUGAAGGUGUCAGGGUUUGCAAAAAUGCACCAUCAGGUUCACAUUUAUUAUUUGUUGAUAAUUCCAUUAUCCUUACAAAAGCAUAUAUGA
rnacentral:rRNA from 1 species